rnacentral:rRNA from 1 species
CCUACGGGAGGCAGCAGUGAGGAAUAUUGGUCAAUGGACGAGAGUCUGAACCAGCCAAGUAGCGUGAAGGAUGACUGCCCUAUGGGUUGUAAACUUCUUUUAUAUGAGAAUAAAAUGUUCCACGUGUGGGAUUUUGUAUGUACCAUAUGACUAAGGAUCGGCUAACUCCGUGCCAGCAGCCGCGGUAAUACGGAGGAUCCGAGCGUUAUCCGGAUUUAUUGGGUUUAAAGGGAGCGUAGGUGGAUUGUUAAGUCAGUUGUGAAAUUUUGCGGCUCAACCGUAGAAUUGCCGUUGAAACUGGCAGUCUAGAGAAUAGUAGAGGUGGGCGGAAUGUGUGGUGUAGCGGUGAAAUGCUUAGAGAUCACGAAGAACUCCGAUUGCGAAGGCAGUUCACUGGACUGCAACUGACACUGAGGCUCGAAAGUGUGGGUAGCAAACAGGAUUAGAUACCCUUGUAGUC